rnacentral:rRNA from 1 species
UACGAAGGGGGCUAGCGUUGCUCGGAAUUACUGGGCGUAAAGCGCGUGUAGGUGGUUGUCCAAGUUGGAUGUGAAAGCCUUGAGCUUAACUCAAGAAAUGCAUUCAGGACUGGGCGACUAGAGGACCGGAGAGGAUAGUGGAAUUCCCAGUGUAGUGGUGAAAUACGUAGAGAUUGGGAAGAACACCAGUGGCGAAGGCGGCUAUCUGGACGGUUUCUGACACUAAGACUCGAAAGCGUGGGGAGCAAACAGG